AGAAGAAAGGAAGAAAUGGGACUGGAUGAUCUCAAAGCGCCACCACAGCUGACUCUGAAUCUGAAGUUUCCACCUUGGGGGCACGUGGCCUUUUGGUCUCACCACAGCUUCCCGUCUAAGCCUCCUCUGCCCUCCCACAGCUGCCACCUGACCUUCACUUUCACAGAGACUCCAGAAGGCAGACUGUCAGGGGCUUCAGGAAGGGAUGCAGCCGUCGCCGCUGCUGCUGCUGCUGCUUCUGCUGCUGCUGCCGCCGCCGCCGAAGCUGCUGCAUCCCUGGCUCAGGACUCAUGGUACCAGCUGGAGCUACAGCAGAAUGUGACAGUGCAGGAGGGCCUAUGUGUCCUCGUGCCAUGCAAAUUUUCCUACCCCUGGAGCUCUUUUGGCACCUUCUCUGGGUUUUGGUUCCGGCAAGGGGCAGGUAAAAAACAUGCUCUGGUGGCCACGAACAGGCUGGGGCAGAAGCUGUCUGAGGGGUCCCAGGGGCGGUUCUUCCUCCUCGGGGAUCCCCAGGCCAACAACUGCUCGCUGAGCAUCAGAGACGUCACCACGGGGGACAGCGGGACAUACUUCUUUCAAAUAGAGACAAGCUUCCAUCAACACGCAUAUCAAGAUAGGCCGCUCUCUCUGGGUGUGACAGCCCUGACCCAGGCGCCCCACAUCCUCAUGCCCGAGACCCUGGAGUCUGGCCGCCCCAGGCGCCUGACCUGCUCUGUGCCCUGGGCCUGUGAGUGGGGCACGCCCCCCGUCUUCUCCUGGACCUCAGCUGCCCUCCCCACCCUGGGCCCCAGGACCCCCCUCUCCUCCGUGGUCACCCUGACCCCACGGCCCCAGGACCACGGCACCAGCCUCACCUGUCAGGUGAUGUUCCCUGCAAGCGGCGUGACCGUGGGAAGGACCAUCCAGCUCAAUGUCACCUAUGCCCCACGGAACGUGACCGUCAGCGUCUUCCAAGGAAACAGAACAGCUCUCAAGAUUCUGCAGAACGCCUCCUCCCUGCCCGUCCUGGAGGGCCAGGCUCUGCAGCUGCUCUGUGUGGCCGACGGCAACCCCCCUGCACAGCUGAGCUGGUUCCGGGGGUCCCCAGCCCCGAAUGCCACCCCCAUCUCUAGCACCACAAUCCUGGAGCUGCCAGGCUUGGGGACGGUGCCAGGAGAAGUCACCUGUCGGGCUCAGAACCCGCUGGGCUCCCAGAAUCUCUCUCUGAGCCUCUUGGUGGUCUACCCCCCCCAGCUGCUGGGUCCCUCCUGCUCCUGGGAGGACAGGGGUCUCCACUGCAGCUGCUCCUCCCGAGCCCAGCCCGCCCCCUCCCUGCACUGGCGCCUGGGGGAGGGGCUGCUGGACGGGAACUUCAGCAACGCCUCGAUCAAGGUCACCUCCAGCUCCACCGGGCCCUGGGCCAACAGCUCCCUGAGCCUGGGCGAGGGGCUCAGCUCCAGCCUCAGACUCAGCUGCGAGGCCCAGAACGUCUACGGGUCCCAGGGCGCCACUGUCCUGCUGCUGCCAGGUCAGGGGGUCUCCUGAGGGGGCGAUGCCUGGGGGACAGGAACGGGGACCCCUUUGUUAGUUUGCUAGGACUGCCCUAAACAAGUGCCUCAACCUGGGGGAUUAAAUGUUGGCUGGGUCUUGGCUCCCGGUGCCGGGGGCUGGAAGCCUGAGAUCAAGGUCUCAAGGCCAUGCCUUCUGAGGCUGUGAGAAUGGCUCCAGGUGUCUCCCUUGGCUUCUGGUGCUUGGCUGGCAGCUCCAGGUGUCUCCCCUGGCUUGUAGAAACAUCACCCCAACCUCUGCUUUCAUCGUGCAUGGCAUCGCUCUCCCUGUGGGCGGGUCUGGAUCCAGAUUCCCUCUUUUUGAGAAGGACACCGGUUCUAGUGGAUUAGGGUCCAGUCUAAUGAUCUCGUCUUAACCUAGACCCUGUCUCUAAAUAAGGUCAUACAUAUUCUUCUCAAUUUUUAAUGAUUUUAAUUUUUCCAGUGAAUUUUUUUUUUUUUUUUACUGUUUAUAGUGAUUUUUUUUUUUUUUUUUUUUUUUUUUUUUUGCUUUGAGUUUUCCAGGCUAGGGAUCGAAUCAGAGCUGCAGCUGCCAGCCUACACCACAGCCACAGCAACUCAGGAUCUGAGCCACAUCUGAGACCUACACCAUGGCUCAGGGCUACGCCAGAUCCUUAACUGAUCAAGGCCAGGGAUGGAACCUGCAACCUCAUGGAUACUGGUCCGGUUUAUUUCCACUGAGCCAAGACAGGAACUUAAGGUAAACCACAGCCCAGGAUCCAGCAGACCCUGCCAGCAAUCGGAGGAGCUGGCAUCGUGGUCCUGCUCUCUUUCUGCCUCUAUCUCAUCUUCAGAGUGAAGACCCUCAGGAAAACCCAGCCAAUGCAAAGCCUGGAUGCUGUGAACCAAGCCGAGGACUCAGGCCCCAGGGAGCCACAGCCCCGGUUCUGGGCUGACACUGCAGCAGAGCACCCCGCUCCUGCUGGGGCUGGCUCGAGCCCAGGAGAGGGACAGGAGCUUCACUACGCUCUCCUCAGAUUCCACAGGCUGCAGCCACGGCCGCAGGAGCCGGAAGACACUCACACUGAGUACUCAGAGAUCAGGACACACCAGUGAGCAAUUACUUUCCCACGGUCUGGAGAUCGGACGUCUGCGAGCAGAUGGUGUCAGCGGGGUUGGUGUCCAGGCCUUGCUCCUUGGCCUGCAGGCGGCCGCCUUCUCCCUGGAGCCUCACGGGGUCCUCCCUCUGGGUGUGUCUGUGUCCUCCUAACUGCCUCUGCUUCUAGGGACACCAGAUAUUCUGGAUCAGGGACCACCCUGAGGACCUCAUUUUAAUGGAAUUACCUCUUUCAAGACCCUGUCCUCAAAUACAGUCACAUUCCAAAUUC